rnacentral:rRNA from 1 species
CAAAGGCUCCAAAGGAAGCCACGGCUAACUCUGUGCCAGCAGCCGCGGUAAUACAGAGGUGGCGAGCGUUGUUCGGAAUUAUUGGGCGUAAAGAGCACGUAGGUGGGUUUGCAAGUCAGAUGUGAAAGCCUUCUGUUCAACGGAAGAAUUGCAUCUGAAACUGCUGAUCUUGAGUAUAGGAGGGGAGAAUGGAACUUCUGGUGGAGCGGUGAAAUGCGUAGAUAUCAGAAGGAACGCCGGCGGCGAAAGCGAUUCUCUGGCCUAUUACUGACACUCAGUGUGCGAAAGCUAGGGGAGCAAACGGGAUUAGAUACCCCGGUAGUCCUAGCUGUAAA